GAUGAACGCUGGCGGCAUGCCUAACACAUGCAAGUCGAACGAGGACUGUUCAGCUUGCUGAACAGUUUUAGUGGCGGACGGGUGAGUAACGCGUAAGAAUCUGCCCCUGGGAGAGGGAUACCAAUUGGAAACGGUUGUUAAUACCUCAUGUGCUGAGGAGUGAAAAGGUUUACACCGCCUAGGGAUGAGCUUGCGUCUGAUUAGCUAGUUGGUGGGGUAAUGGCCUACCGAGGCAAUGAUCAGUAGCUGGUUUGAGAGGACGAUCAGCCACACUGGGACUGAGACACGGCCCAGACUCCUACGGGAGGCAGCAGUGGGGAAUAUUGGACAAUGGGCGCAAGCCUGAUCCAGCAAUGCCGCGUGGGUGAAGAAGGUCUUCGGAUUGUAAAGCCCUUUCGGCGGGGACGAUGAUGACGGUACCCGCAGAAGAAGCCCCGGCUAACUUCGUGCCAGCAGCCGCCGUAAAAC
rnacentral:rRNA from 1 species